rnacentral:rRNA from 1 species
UACGGAGGGUGCGAGCGUUGUCCGGAAUCACUGGGCGUAAAGGGCGCGUAGGUGGCUUCUCAAGCGCGCGGUGAAAGCCCGGGGCUCAACCCCGGGUCGGCCGUGCGGACUGGGAGCUCGAGCACUGUAGGGGCGGGUGGAAUUCCCGGUGUAGCGGUGAAAUGCGUAGAGAUCGGGAGGAACACCAGCGGCGAAGGCGGCGACCUGGACAGUCACUGACACUCAACUGCGAAAGCGUGGGGAGCAAACAGG